rnacentral:rRNA from 1 species
UACUUCCUACGGGAGGCAGCAGUGGGGAAUAUUGGGCAAUGGGGGAAACCCUGACCCAGCAACGCCGCGUGAAGGAAGAAGGCCUUCGGGUUGUAAACUUCUUUUACCAGGGACGAAGAACGUGACGGUACCUGGAGAAAAAGCCACGGCUAACUAUGUGCCAGCAGCCGCGGUAAUACGUAGGUGGCAAGCGUUGUCCGGAUUUACUGGGUGUAAUGGGCGUGUAGGCGGAGCUGCAAGUCAGAUGUGAAAUCCCGGGGCUCACCCCCGGAACUGCAUUUGAAA